AAUCAGGUAGGAAUACCCGCUGAACUUAAGCAUAUCAAUAG
rnacentral:rRNA from 1 species